rnacentral:rRNA from 1 species
UAACACGUAUCCAACCUGCCGUCUACUCUUGGACAGCCUUCUGAAAGGAAGAUUAAUACAAGAUGGCAUCAUGAGUUCACAUGUUCACAUGAUUAAAGGUAUUCCGGUAGACGAUGGGGAUGCGUUCCAUUAGAUAGUAGGCGGGGUAACGGCCCACCUAGUCUUCGAUGGAUAGGGGUUCUGAGAGGAAGGUCCCCCACAUUGGAACUGAGACACGGUCCAAACUCCUACGGGAGGCAGCAGUGAGGAAUAUUGGUCAAUGGGCGAGAGCCUGAACCAGCCAAGUAGCGUGAAGGAUGACUGCCCUAUGGGUUGUAAACUUCUUUUAUAAAGGAAUAAAGUCGGGUAUGGAUACCCGUUUGCAUGUACUUUAUGAAUAAGGAUCGGCUAACUCCGUGCCAGCAGCCGCGGUAAUACGGAGGAUCCGAGCGUUAUCCGGAUUUAUUGGGUUUAAAGGGAGCGUAGAUGGAUGUUUAAGUCAGUUGUGAAAGUUUGCGGCUCAACCGUAAAAUUGCAGUUGAUACUGGAUAUCUUGAGUGCAGUUGAGGCAGGCGGAAUUUGUGGUGUAGCGGUGAAAUGCUUAGAUAUCACGAAGAACUCCGAUUGCGAAGGCAGCCUGCUAAGCUGCAACUGACAUUGAGGCUCGAAAGUGUGGGUAUCAAACAGGAUUAGAUACCCUGGUAGUCCACACGGUAAACGAUGAAUACUCGCUGU